GGUAGUGACGCACUCCGGGAGGUGCCGGCCGCUCAUAACGGUCCGCCGAAAGGCCAAGUAGGUUCGAUUCCUACCGCUACCACCA
rnacentral:tRNA from 1 species